UCCAGACUCUGAUACCUCAUAUUCUGAAAUUGUGAUCAGAUCCAGGAGCACGGUUCAAUUCAAUCGGGCUGACACUGUGUAAUAUCUGAUGGUGAGGAUCUGGGGCCACAUGAAACUAAUCCAGUCAUGACUGCGACAGUAAAUACACAGACCUGUAUAAACCAUGUGUUGAGGAAGAGGAUGAGGAGUUGGUUGCAGUUGAGUUUACAACACACACCAACUAACCAACACACUAACUAAGCUAUUGCCUGUGGCAUUCCAGUUUUUCCUCUACAAUAUUUCUCGUGUUUAAAUACUUUUUGUAAAAGUAGCAAAUUGAUGUCUGUCUCUGCUUUCCC
ensembl:lncRNA